UACGUAGGGGGGCGAGCGUUGUCCGGAUUCAUUGGGCGUAAAGAGCUCGUAGGCGGCUUGGCAAGUCGGAUGUGAAAACUCCAGGCUCAACCUGGAGCCGCCAUUCGAUACUGCUAUGGCUAGAGUCCGGUAGGGGAGUGUGGAAUUCCCGGUGUAGCGGUGAAAAUGCGCAGAUAUCGGGGAGGAACACCGAUGGCGAAGGCAGCACUCUGGGACGGUACUGAC
rnacentral:rRNA from 1 species